AUUGAACGCUGGCGGCAUGCCUAACACAUGCAAGUCGAACGGGGGCAGCAAUGCCCUAGUGGCGGACGGGUGAGGAAUACGUAGGAAUUGGCCCACGAGUGGGGGACAACCUGGGGAAACCCAGGCUAAUACCGCAUACGCUCGCGAGAGGAAAGCGGGGGACCUUCGGGCCUCGCGCUGGUGGACAAGCCUACGUCCGAUUAGCUUGUUGGUGGGGUAAAAGCCUACCAAGGCGACGAUCGGUAGCUGGUCUGAGAGGAUGAUCAGCCACACUGGGACUGAGACACGGCCCAGACUCCUACGGGAGGCAGCAGUGGGGAAUAUUGGACAAUGGGCGCAAGCCUGAUCCAGCAAAUGCCGCGUGGGUGAAGAAGGCCU
rnacentral:rRNA from 1 species